ACAGGCAGCUCAAGUGGUGGCCAUUUUUAUUGGGCCUAAAGCGUUCGUAGCCGGUUUGAUAAGUCUCUGGUGAAAUCCCGCAGCUUAACUGUGGGACUUGCUGGAGAUACUAUUAGACUUGAGGUCGGGAGAGGUUAGGGGUACUCCCAGGGUAGGGGUAAAAGCAUAUAACCCUGGGAGGACUACCUAUGGCGAGGGGGCCUAACUGGAACAAACCUGCGGGUGAGUAACGUAAUCCACGGACGCCAUUGG
rnacentral:rRNA from 1 species